CCGGAUCUAGGAAAUCUCUCACAAGCAUUGCAUGCCUAAAACAACAUUGGAAUCCCCAAAUUAGUCAGACAAGUCCAUAGCCUAUGUAGAUCUCGUGGUUGCAAGUGCUCGCUCCAUAUACUGGUGCUUAUAGAAAUCGAUUCAGGCAUGACAAGCACUUCAGACAAACAUAUCAGAACCAUCAAACCAAACGUACCAUGCCACAUGCACAAGCCCCUAAGAAUCCAUGUUACUAGAACAUACCCAACAUGUUGUAUAUAUCAGUAGUUAAGAUUAAAUUAAGGAACCGAGGCCAUACUCAUCCUGUAGAGCAACUAAGCAAGCAAGU
rnacentral:lncRNA from 1 species